rnacentral:rRNA from 1 species
AUUGAACGCUGGCGGCAGGCUUAACAUAUGCAAGUCGAGCGGAGAUGAGGUGCUUGCACCUUAUCUUAGCGGCGGACGGGUGAGUAAUGCUUAGGAAUCUGCCUAUUAGUGGGGGACAACAUUCCGAAAGGAAUGCUAAUACCGCAUACGUCCUACGGGAGAAAGCAGGGGAUCUUCGGACCUUGCGCUAAUAGAUGAGCCUAAGUCGGAUUAGCUAGUUGGUGGGGUAAAGGCCUACCAAGGCGACGAUCUGUAGCGGGUCUGAGAGGAUGAGCCGCCACACUGGGACUGAGACACGGCCCAGACUCCUACGGGAGGCAGCAGUGGGGAAUAUUGGACAAUGGGGGGAACCCUGAUCCAGCCAUGCCGCGUGUGUGAAGAAGGCCUUAUGGUUGUAAAGCACUUUAAGCGAGGAGGAGGCUACUGAGACUAAUACUCUUGGAUAGUGGACGUUACUCGCAGAAUAAGCACCGGCUAAUUCUGUGCCAGCCGCCGCCGUAA